rnacentral:lncRNA from 1 species
GUCCCCAGAUGCUACCAAUGCCGUCUCGUAGCACGGAUCCCCAUGACAAGCCCCUCGCUGCCCCCUCUUCUCCCAAUCACCCUCAGUGCCUGUAGGAGAGCCUCUCACUGGCUGCCCCCGCCCCUCCGCCUGUGGCCGCCUCUGCGCCUGCGCAGGACUUACUCCUAAUAAGGCCGGGGGCCCGCCCCUACCGCCCUACCGAAGGGUUCGCAUUCUCCCGCCUUCCCUCCGCCACCCGGGCGAUUGGUCUGUCAACUCUCGGCCCGCGGGGGAGGGUGCGGAGGACGGCCAAACGGCAGGUUGCGCCCCGCCCCCCCUUAAAGGAGAAGCGCUGUCAAGCUCGCCUCUCUGCUCAAUGUCUGAAUGAGACUUGAGCGGGAAGGUGGCGGAGUUCUUCCUUUCGUCUUUCCCACAAGGAGGGGGAACCUUGGUCCAGCUCCCUCGGCGCGAUAUUACCGAUAUUCUCCCCAUCAGGUGGAUCUGGAGCGGCAACUCGCGAGGCCUUAAAAGAACAGCAGGCAGCCGGUUGCUUUUCGCUGCAACCUGGAGUAAGGCCUGCGGGAACUACGCGACCCAGAGUGCAGCGGGUGCGGCUCCCGGCAUGCUCGGCGGCGGAAUUCCCGCCGAGCCGCCGCCGCUCGCUCCGCCGCCGCUUCAGCGCUGCCGCGAGCCCCGGCCCUCCUCCCGCCGCGGCUUACGCGCUCACGGAGUGCCGGGGAGGGCCGGUCGCCGAGGCCUUCUCCAUGAGAGUCAGAGGAGGCCCUCUCCCACUGGAUGAAGCACAAAUCUCCGGCUCUUUAACUAACAUACAGAAAUUUUCGUCUUGCCACCUACAGAUCUGAAACCUGAAGUGAUUCGAUCGCCUUUUCAUCAAUAACAAAGAAUGCCCUCGCUACAGGUAUUUCCCAUGUAUAUAGUUUCUGGAUGAUCUUUGUUGUGGCAGUGGUGGUUUUUCUUAAGA